UUUGCUCUUACGUCACCCCAUGCUACUCCAUUACCAGCGACACACAGAGCUCCCGUCUGCUGGAACCGGAACAGAAAGGAGGGCAGCACCAAAGGAAGAAAGCAGUGUUGGACGGUUCACGGAGAGAGGAGAGGCCAUGCACAGGAAAAAGCUGUCAGGGUAAAAGAAAAAUUGCUGACUGCCUCCCAAAAAACAACCCAGCUUCAGCUCUAUGCUGCUAUUGCUUCAGCCCAAGGGGACUGCUUGCUUUGUCUCCCCAAGAGUGUGCUGUCUGUGCAAAGUCUCUGCUUCGCUUGGGAAAGGAUGAAGGCGACACAGGUGCCAGCGUACCUGAGUGGGAGCUCUGGUCCCCAGUGUCACUGCAGUGGGUGAGGGGCCAUGCCAAAGUCUGAGCUUGUUGAGGAAGUUCUUGCCAUCAUAAAACUGUCACUGGAGCUGUCAAAUGGUGGGGAACAAAAGGUGCUGAUAAAAACGAGCGAAAGAUGGGAGUGUGUUGGGGAAGGGGUAAGGCAGGAGGUGGCUUACCCCAGUGCUGGGUAGCAACAGAAUCUGAAAGUGCCUCUUCCCUGUUCAACUGUUUUGAGGUCUUGAAAUGUCUGUUGUGCCACAAAAUAAACAGGAAGUGUCAGUCGCUUUCUGUGCAAUACAGGGGGAAAAAUAGUUCUAAUGCAAAGUUCAGUAAAAAAAUGCAUCGACUGUGCAAAGUGUUAGCAAUGGAGGAAAAACAUGGAUUAAAGAAACUUUGAAACAGCUAUGCUAAUGGAUUUUUAGAUAUGAUCAUCAUUAGUGUUAUUAUCUUGCAAUAAGAAUAAUUUUAAAUAGUUUCUAAUAAAAGGUGUUAGAGGAAGGAAGGAAAAUUAUUAAAUAUCAAUUAUGGUGUGGUUUAUUACCUGAAGUUUUAAUAAGAGAGAUAUUAGUUUUAGGAGCUGUUUUCAUAAAAUUAGUACAUUUUAAAAUAUACUAAUUGCAUUCCUGUUCAAGUCAUGGAUGAUGGGACAAUAGAAAAGGUAUAAAUAACACAUUUUAGAAGAUAUUUGUAAUCAGUCAAUAUGUUGUCAAGGUUUAAUUAAUGUUUGCUUAGCAGCUGCAUUUUAAUAGAAAAGAAAAUAAAGCCUAGGAGACAGUUACGUUGGUGGUCAUCCCUCUGCUAUUUUCUUCCCUAGCCCCUCUAAACAUAUUUGGGUACAAUUCACCUAUCAAACACUCAGUCUUUACAGUUGGUGUAUUUCACUGCCGCUUUUAAAUUCUGUAAGGGUUGCAACUUCACUUUCGUGAGAUUGAUGAACCAGAUUUAGAAAUAAAUCAAAAAUGUCUUAGGACUUUAAAAAAUGAUUAUUUGCUAACUCUUAAUUUUCUCUCAUAUUUGUAUUAAGGAACCAGCUAUUAAGUGCUUGAUUUUUUUAAAAAUUAAGCUCCAUGUGUAUAUGUGCAUCAUACAAAACAAUGUUGAACAGCAAGGACUGUUUAUGAUAGCUAUAAAAACAAAUAAUGGAAGAGAUUGCAUGGUUUUGGGCAAUUUAUCUUUAAACUCACAACUUUUAAAAAGUAUUUUCUUAUCUGCUUUGGGGAGAAAAUGGAAGUGGUGCUGGGAUUCUUUAUAUAUUCUAUAGUGUGGGAAUGUUUUAUCAUGUUUUUUAAAUUUCUGUCCUUCUGUUAGAGCUGUUUAAAUUUACAUUAAUCCAUUAUUUAAAAAAUAGCAAAUUAUGUCUGUAGUAGAUAUUUAUAAGAAUCCAGGCUUCUGUUUAUAGUGCAUUAGGUUGAUUAUACAAUAAAUGCACUUAGCUUAACACACCUUUAACGUGGCUAUAUCUUGAAGAUUAGUGUAUUGCAAGAUUGUUCUAAAGAAAUGGCUUUAUGUCCUUGAAAAUAUGCACAGGACACCCACUGCAAUAGCUUAUCCAAAGCUCAAUAUUUUAUGGUCAAGACGCAGGCAAGGGGGUGCUUAAGAUCAGUUUAAGUAAGACCUGGAAAUUUUAACUUGUCUGUAUGUUAUAAUCAGAUUGCAACAUCUACAGAUACCUUUGAACAAAUCAGAUCCCUGUAUUCUAUUGUAACACUGUUUUCCAAAGUCUUAAAGAUAUGUUCUGUAAGAAUUAAAUGAACAUAUUUGGCUUGAGUAUUGGGAGUUCAAUGUAUUUUCGUUGGUGAAUUUCAACCACUGCCACUAUAUUCCAUGUAUACAUGCACACACAUACACAUAUAUGUUAUGUAUAUUAUGCAUGUCUUAUAUACUUAUUAUACAGAUAUAUGUUCCCUAAUCAUCAAGUUAUAAAGAAAUCUAAGCUAAUAAGCCCUAACAUCCAAAUAGCAUAAUAGAAAUACAAAAAAUACAUCUCUGUUAGUACCUCAAAUGAGAAAAAAAAUUAAGCGUGUGCUUCACUUUUAUUUCUCUGGCUUUUGUUUGUUGUUUGUUCUGUUUUGUUUUUUGUUUGUUUGUUUGUUUUGUUUUUUAAGCAACAUACUAAAGGAAUUAAGUGUAAUAAUAAUAAUAGUAAUAAAGUUAUUCCUGUACGAGAAUUAAACAUUUGGUGAUAUUAUAUUUACAUUUGUUACAUUUGCAUAAAUUCAAUAGAAAGUCUGACAAAGAAAUCUGCAUACAUAGUUUCUGUGGUUUAUAUACACAGAGUUUACAUGAAGAAAAUAAACAGAGAUACACUCUGUAGUUUCUAAAUGGGCUUAUGUACAUAUGUAUUUAGUGUGUAGAAGGCUGGGAUGAGGAAGGAGACAGGGUCAGAAGACAUAGCCUUCUAACUGACUCAGAUAAAUGAGAUGCUUUUUUACAUAGGUGAUGACUCCUGUAGCUAGAGAAUAUGUGACAGUUGCUUGAUCUGCAAAAUUUAAUUUGUCUUCAGUUCAGACAGCGUUUUUUUUUGUUAUUGGUGAGUACUAAUCUAUAAAACAAUCUACAGGUUUAUUGUUUCUCUUAAAAGUGUCACAUUGUCUACUAGAUUUAUUCUGGAUUACUCUGAUGUGGAAAAAUAUGUAUCUGAAGUGCAUUCUCGUACAAGUUUCUAUAUAAAGCAAUUGUAUAAAGGCUUCGAAGUGCCAGUGGUAACUUCAUAUAUUAUUUAUGUAUCAUUGAUAAUUACUGAUAUAAAAGAUACAUUCAUGACCAACAACAGCAGUCUUUGCAUAGGUACUUAACUAGCAAUAUUUAGAGGUCUCUUCUGUACCGAAUAGAUCUGGAUCUAAUAGAUGGACUGUCAGAAGAUGUCUUCCUUGGGAGAUGCAUCUUUUUGUAUAGAACACUUCUUUUUCCUUCUCUCAUGUAGAAGUGUGCUGACUGUUCUAAUCCUUAUGAAAAUAAGGAGAAACUUUCAGCUUCAUAAUUUAUCAGUGAUUUUAUUUUCUUUUAUAUUUUUAGUUUUUACAAAAUUUACAUUGAAAAGGGCUACACAGGAGCACUGGAAAAAAUGUCUGACAUGUAAAAAGAUAUAGAAAGCUUUUAGAAAUGAGCUGACGAAGAAGAGAACAGCCAUAGGGAGAGGUGAGGAGGUGAAAGUUCUGCAUGCAGUUGCAAACAAAGAGAGAUUAGGUGGUUCAGCAUUUGGUUCCUUUAUCCUGCUGUGGUGCCUACCUCCCCAUUUUCCUUGCAUUGCUCUCUCAUAUUUUGCCCUUUUCAGUUCUCCUCUCAUUUCCUCCACCCUCUCCCUUUUUUGUGUAAUGGAGAACAACUGAAAACAAAGUUAUAACCUGUGAUUUCUUGAAGUUUCUUUUCUGUUUCAGCAUGUAUAUAUCUAAAAGGGCAUUAAGGGAUAAUUUUGACCCCCGUGAAUUUCCACAUGACACGUACCUACUAUGCAAACUGCAGUGGGGUGAUACUGGCAGACCUUGGAUACACUGGAUCAGAAAGGAUCAUUACCAUGCUGAAGUGUACUUCUUGGAGAAGAUCUUUAAGAUGAGAAGAUCCAAAAAUUUUGUCAACUGUUCCAUCACCUAGUACUUGUCCUGGAGCCCCUGUGUGAGCUGCUGCUGUGAAAUAUUGAAUUUCUUAGAGAAGCACUCAAAUGUGAACAUAGCCAUAUAUGUAGCACGGCUUUAUAAAAUACAAAAUUCAGAAGUCUGUGAGGGUCUGAAGAAGCUUGUGAGCUUGAAGAAAGUAACCAUUGCUGUCAUGGAAAUUAAAGACUAUACUUACUGUUGGAAAACUUUUAUCCAAGGAGAUGCUGACGAUGAUUCCUGGACUGUGGGCUUUCAAUCAGCGAUAACUAAGAAUCGUUUGAAGCUCAAGGAUGUCUUUGAGGAUCUUCCAUUCAUACAAUCAUAGAACUAUAGAAUAUCUCAAGCUGGAAGGGACCCAUAAGGAUUGAGUCCAACUCCUUGCUCCGUGGGGGACUAUGUAAAAAUAAACCAUAUGACUCAAAGUGUCAUCCAGAUGCUCCUUGAACUCCGCCAGGCUUGGUAUUGUGACCACUUCCCUUGGAGCCUGUUCCAGUGACCAACCAACUCUCAGUGAAGACCCUUUUCCUAAUGUCCAAGCUGAACCUCUCCUGAUGCAGCUUCAAUCCAUUUCCUUGUGUCCUGUCGCUGGUCACCGGAGAGAGGAGAUGAGCACCAGAAUUACCCCAUCUCAAAUGGAGAAUCCAGCACUCACUCCCAUUAAAUUUCAUAAGGAUGUGAUUGCCCAGCUCUCUAGUCUAUCCAGAUCUCUCCAUAAAGCCUCUUUACCAUCCAAGGAGUCCACAGCUAGUUUAGUACCUUUGGCAAACUUACUUAAUGUACAUUUGAUUCUUGUGUCCAGAUAAUUUAUAAACACAUUAAAGAACAGUGACCCUAAAAUUGA